UACGGGGGGAGCAAGCGUUGCUCGGAUUUACUGGGCGUAAAGGGCGCGUAGGCGGCCAGCACAAGUCAGUUGUGAAAUCUCCGGGCUUAACUCGGAAAGGUCAACUGAUACUGUGCGGCUAGAGUGCAGAAGGGGCAACUGGAAUUCUCGGUGUAGCGGUGAAAUGCGUAGAUAUCGGGAGGAAUACCGAUGGCGAAGGCAGGUCUCUGGGCUGACACUGACGCUCAUGCACGAAAGCGUGGGGAGCAAACAGG
rnacentral:rRNA from 1 species